AAGAAAGCUUGCUUUCUUUGCUGGCGACCGGCGCACGGGUGAGUAACACGUAUCCAACCUGCCCUUUACUCGGGGAUAGCCUUUCGAAAGAAAGAUUAAUACCCGAUGGGAUAAUCAUUCCGCAUGGUUUGAUUAUUAAAGGAUUCCGGUAAAGGAUGGGGAUGCGUUCCAUUAGGUUGUUGGUGAGGUAACGGCUCACCAAGCCUUCGAUGGAUAGGGGUUCUGAGAGGAAGGUCCCCCACAUUGGAACUGAGACACGGUCCAAACUCCUACGGGAGGCAGCAGUGAGGAAUAUUGGUCAAUGGGCGCGAGCCUGAACCAGCCAAGUAGCGUGAAGGAUGACUGCCCUAUGGGUUGUAAACUUCUUUUAUAUUAGAAUAAAGUGCAGUAUGUAUACUGUUUUGUAUGUAUAAUAUGAAUAAGGAUCGGCUAACUCCGUGCCAGCAGCCGCGGUAAUACGGAGGAUCCGAGCGUUAUCCGGAUUUAUUGGGUUUAAAGGGAGCGUAGGUGGACUGGUAAGUCAGUUGUGAAAGUUUGCGGCUCAACCGUAAAAUUGCAGUUGAUACUGUCAGUCUUGAGUACAGUAGAGGUGGGCGGAAUUCGUGGUGUAGCGGUGAAAUGCUUAGAUAUCACGAAGAACUCCGAUUGCGAAGGCAGCUCACUGGACUGCAACUGACACUGAUGCUCGAAAGUGUGGGUAUCAAACAGGAUUAGAUACCCUGGUAGUCCACACAGUAAACGAUGAAUACUCGCUGUUUGCGAUAUACAGUAAGCGGCCAAGCGAAAGCAUUAAGUAUUCCACCUGGGGAGUACGCCGGCAACGGUGAAACUCAAAGGAAUUGACGGGGGCCCGCACAAGCGGAGGAACAUGUGGUUUAAUUCGAUGAUACGCGAGGAACCUUACCCGGGCUUAAAUUGCAGUGGAAUGAUGUGGAAACAU
rnacentral:rRNA from 1 species